AAUUAUCAACUCGAAAAUCUUGUAUUUUUUAUGUUUGGAAUUGGAGCGUGCAGGGCCCUACGAGGCUCUGCUCCUCUUGAAAUGCAUUAGUGGAACUUCUGAUUGCAGACCUGCUCCAGCGUGAUAAUUAUCUACGUUGCGGUAGUGAAGUCGGAGGGUCUGCUUACAACCGUUGCAUAUAUGCGCAACAAAACUCAUGACA
rnacentral:misc_RNA from 1 species